AUUUUCCCUAAUUUGUUUAUAAACACUAAUUUUUUCUACUCGAACCUCGUUUAUCUCCGCUUUUUUAAAACAACUCUCAGUUUAAUUUUGUUUUCUACUCUAUUCUUACUAAGUGUUUCCGGUUAUUGCAAAUUUCAGAUGGCUACUACCCUUUCAAAUUAGGGUUUCUGACCCCCUUCUUCAAAAUUGUUUCGUCUGCUCUUUCUGAGUACUAUAUUUUCGUUUGUGUUUAUUUGCUUACUUGUUUGUUCGGUGUCCUUGUUAACCUGGGUCCAUGCUUUAAUUUUUAUUGCUAGGGUUUCCGACCCCCUAUUAAGAUCACUACAUCUUCUGCUUCCUUUGAGUAUUAUGUAUGCAUACGAUUGUUUUUGGGAUGAGCAUGUUUGUUUCGGAGUUCCAUGCUUUAAACUCUUUUACUGGGGUUCCAACCCUCUACGCUUCUAUGAUUUCUUGCACAGUGUUCUCUGCUUUUUCACGCCUAUUGUGUUUAUUGGUCUAAUCGUUAUUCGAAUGAUUCUAUGCAAUCCCUAAUAUGUAUGCGUUUUUCUUAACGGUUCUUACACUGAUUUCUUAAAUUAUUUCCUUGCUUAUGAAAUGCUCUCUAUAUUAGCACUGAUUCCCUUUGAUUUUUAGUCUCA
rnacentral:lncRNA from 1 species